rnacentral:lncRNA from 1 species
AUUUGAUAUAUAUAUAAAAUUAUAGCAUUAUAAAAUGAAGCAAAAAAAAACAAUGCAAUUUUUAAUUAAAUUAUUUUACGAAUUAUUGAAGAUAUUUUAUGAAUUAAAACAAGGAUAGAAUGUUUACAACAGGAAAGAAUGCUUAGUAUUUUAGGGAGGAGAUACGUACUCCCAAAAUUAUCAGCUCCAGGGCCUAGAAGGUGGGAUCUGUAAAAUGUGAAGUUUCAUUUAGAAUGACACCUGCAAAUAGUAGAGAAAGAGAGAGCGAGAGAGAGAAAAAAAAAACGCAAUUUAGUAACAGAAUUGUUGAUAUUUUAAUUUUUUAUAAUUCAUUAAAUCACAGCAACAAUGCAAUUUCCUUAUCGCGAAAACGAGAGAGUAGCUGUUUAAAUAGGAAUUUUCUUGUCACAGGAAGACUGUGUUUCACUUUAAACGUUUAAAUAUCAAUGUUUUAAUUAGUGAAUCAUAUAUAUACAAACAAAGAAGUAAUUAAAUAUUAAGAACUGUUAACAAAACAAAUUCGUCAUCGUUCAUGAAAUAUAAAGAGGAAGAUGAUUACUCAUUCAUUGCAACAGACAC